UCAAUUGCGAUGAUAGGAACAAGUACGUUUGUCUCCCGUUUCUCAGAGAGCCGGUGGUAGGUGCGAACCGGUGAAACAAGCAGACCGAAUGGAUCCUUGAGCUUGAAGCUGAACACUGUGUAGAAUCACCGGAACCUAGGCCGGAUUAAAACCACAGUUAAUUAUGCUUAACGGUAGCUCUCCGUUAUCAGAGCCUGAAGGUUUACAUGCACAUAACUACGGUUAUGUAGGUAGACAAAUUAGGGUGGUACCACGGUCUCUCGUCCCUUGC
rnacentral:ncRNA from 1 species